GCACAGCCCCACCUUGGUGUGGGAGAGGUCACCCAUGCAGAGUGCCACCCAUCAAUGAGGGAAUAGUGAUGCCACUAUUAAAUGUGAUGUUUCAUGAAUGGUUCUUUUCACUUUCACAGCUGAACUAGCAGACAACCCUUAAGCUGAAGAAGCACCCAUCACUUAAGCUGAAGAAACAUGCAUCUCUUAAGUCCUGUACCAGUGGUAAUUUGUACCAUGAGUGGCCACAGGAAACCGGUUGGAACUGGAACUCGGACUGGACUGCUCUUCCAGUAGAAGUCAUACAAGUAGCUUCCUUGAUGGCAGAAGUGGAUACUGGACAUUGGUGGCUUGCAUCUUCCCUCUACCUCUAUACUCCAAGUUCCUGGCUGGCACUGGAAUUACAUCCUUAGCAUGGGCAUCACAACAUCUAGGUGAGAUUCAGGCUUGUUUCCAGUAAGAAACCCUGACAGAAAUUCAGAAGAACGGGAGCUGCGUUCCAUUAGGACUUGAAUACACGAAACG
rnacentral:lncRNA from 1 species